AGAUGUGAGAGGAGGAGAGAUGAGAGUGGAGGGAAUGGAGGAGAGGACACAAUUCAGAUGGAUUAGAAACAUUAAUACGAAGAGAUUGUAAGUGAUAUGUGGGGAAGAAGAAAUGAUGAAGAGAAUAAGAAAGAGAAGGAACAAGACAAGGUAAAAAAACAGGUUGAACAUGCAGGAGAGAGGAUGAACAUGCAGGAGAGAGGAUGAACAUGCAAGAGAGAGGAUGAACAUGCAAGAGAGAGGAUGAACAUGUAAGAGAGAGGAUGAACAUGGAAGAGAGAGGAUGAACAUGGAAGAGAGAGGAUGAACAUGGAAGAGAGAGGAUGAACAUGGAAGAGAGAGGAUGAACAUGGAAGAGAGAGGCUGAACAUGGAAGAGAGAUAAUGAACAUGGAAGAGAGAUAAUGAACAUGUAAGAGAGAGGAUGAACAUGUAAGAGAGAGAAUGAACAUGGAAGAGAAAGGAUGAACAUGGAAGAGAGGAUGAACAUGGAAGAGAGAGGAAUGAACAUGGAAGAGAGAGGAUGAACAUGCAAGAGAGAGGAUGAACAUGGAAAAGAGAGGAUGAACAUGCAAGAGAGAGGAUGAACAUGGAAGAGAGAAGAUGAACUUGCAGGAGAGAGGAUGAACAUGUAAGAGAGAGCAUGAACAUGGAAGAGAGAGGAUGAACAUUAUUUCAGUGUGGAGUCGGAUGAGGGGACUAUGCUUCAUGAAGGCAUUAGAAUACUGUUGCUGACUGAGAGGAGUAACCAAGAACUAUAAGAGGCAGCGAAUCUCACUUUCAAUUGCUGCUGACAACAACUGCAUUGAGGCAACAACCCAAACUGUACUGGUGGUAGGUAGCCCAGUGGUUAAGGAGUUGGACCUGUGGCAGGAAUUGGACCUGAGGCUGUAAGGUUGCUGGUUUGAAUCCCGGGCUGGGUGCAGGAAAGAAAUGGGUGGAAUUGAUUUGAUAACUCUAGGGCUGCUGGGUUCACAUCCUCAAAACAUUCCCCUACAGUUGGGGCCUUGAGCAAGGCCCUUAACCCCACAACAUGCUCUCCAUCCAGGGGCGCUGCACUGCAUAUUGAACCAUGUCUUAACUGCAUGUGUGAAGUCUGCUGUUUGGGGGUGUUGAGAAUGGAGCAGAAGCCACAUUUUCGUUGUUUGCUGUAACUAAUGGACAAAGUUGUACUUUAUUGUAAAGAUGUCAGCCAGAGUUGACAUGGGCCAACAAUCAAACAAAGAGAUGCCUCCCUGGUCACCGGUGAAUAUUUCCAAACUAUGUUAGCAUAUACAGUAAUGACAAUACAUUCUAAAAACUAUGCUGGGGUUGUUUUGUCCAUUAUUUAAUUGUUUAUUAAAUUAUUUUCUUAGCAAAAAUUAUUACUAUUUAAUAGUGGUAGCCAUAAUUCAUAAAUGGCACCAUGCAGGGUUCUAUGUGGAAUCAUUUUGAUUCAGUGAAGUAGAACCUCUAUGGUUCUGGUCAAAUAACCCUACAAAAGGGUCCUAUAUAGAACAUUUAGGGGUUCCAUACCGUAUAUGAAGCAAGAUAUAUAACCCUUAUGGUUCUUUAAGGAACCUUUCUAAGAGUGUAGCUACAAACAAAUAUAUUACCUUGCUGAUGCUAAUGUUUUAUCAUCUAUAUUGGGUUUUAUUAUGGAUUUUAUGUUAUACCAUGGCAUUGUUGAACACUCAUUUCGGAUUGACUUG